GAGCUUGCUCUGAUGUGAUUUUAUCUGACAAAGAGUGGCGAACGGGUGAGUAACACGUGGGUAACCUACCUCUUAGCAGGGGAUAACAUUUGGAAACAAGUGCUAAUACCGUAUAAUACCAACAACCGCAUGGUUGUUGGUUGAAAGAUGGUUCUGCUAUCACUAAGAGAUGGACCCGCGGUGCAUUAGCUAGUUGGUAAGGUAACGGCUUACCAAGGCAAUGAUGCAUAGCCGAGUUGAGAGACUGAUCGGCCACAAUGGGACUGAGACACGGCCCAUACUCCUACGGGAGGCAGCAGUAGGGAAUCUUCCACAAUGGGCGCAAGCCUGAUGGAGCAACGCCGCGUGUGUGAUGAAGGGUUUCGGCUCGUAAAACACUGUUAUAAGAGAAGAACGGCACUGAGAGUAACUGUUCAGUGUGUGACGGUAUCUUACCAGAAAGGAACGGCUAAAUACGUGCCAGCAGCCGCGGUAAUACGUAUGUUCCAAGCGUUAUCCGGAUUUAUUGGGCGUAAAGCGAGCGCAGACGGUUAUUUAAGUCUGAAGUGAAAGCCCUCAGCUCAACUGAGGAAUGGCUUUGGAAACUGGAUGCCUUGAGUGC
rnacentral:rRNA from 1 species